GGCGGGGUAGCUCAGGUGGUUAGAGCGAAGGUCUCAUAAUCCUUAGGUCGGCGGUUCAAGUCCGCCCCCCGCUACCA
rnacentral:tRNA from 3 species